rfam:Glycine max cultivar Williams 82 chromosome 2, whole genome shotgun sequence.
UGGGUUAGGAUGAAGCUAAAUAUAUAAUCCAACACUUGAUCUGAGUAAUUGCCUGUGAUGUAAAAUUAUUCUAUGCUUCUGAAUCUAC